rnacentral:tRNA from 1 species
GGCGGAUGUANCCAAGUGGAUCAAGGCA